UACAGAGGGUGCAAGCGUUGUUCGGAAUUAUUGGGCGUAAAGCGCGUGUAGGCGGGUCUUUAAGUCAGGGGUGAAAUGCCAAGGCUCAACCUUGGAACUGCCUUUGAUACUGGAGAUCUUGAGUCCGGGAGAGGUGAGUGGAAUUGCGAGUGUAGAGGUGAAAUUCGUAGAUAUUCGCAAGAACACCAGUGGCGAAGGCGGCUCACUGGCCCGGAACUGACGCUGAGACGCGAAAGCGUGGGGAGCAAACAGG
rnacentral:rRNA from 1 species